GCACACGGUGGCUUAGUGGUUAGUGGGAGCCUCACACCUCCAGGAUCCGGGGUUUGAUUCCCGCCGGGGCC